rnacentral:rRNA from 1 species
CCUACGGGAGGCAGCAGUGGGAAAUAUUGCGCAAUGGGCGAAAGCCUGACGCAGCGACGCCGCGUGAGGGAUGAAGGUCUUCGGAUCGUAAACCUCUGUCAUCAGGGACGAGGCCCUCACGGUGACGGUACCUGCAGAAGAAGCCCCGGCUAACUACGUGCCAGCAGCCGCGGGAAUCCGGGGGGGGCGAGCGUUAUCCGGAUUCAUUGGGCGUAAGGCGCGCGGAGGGGGCAUGCUGGGUCGGGGUGAAAACUCCGGGGACCAACCCCGGUCCGCCCCCGAUACCGGCAGUCUUGUGUGGGGUAGAGGAAGGCGGAAUUCCCAGUGUAGCGGUGGAAUGCGCAGAUAUUGGGAAGAACACCGGCGGCGAAGGCGGCCUGCUGGGCCGCGACUGACGCUGAGGCGCGAAAGCGAGGGGAGCGAACAGGAUUAGAUACCCGAGUAGUC